AGUCUUGUCGGCGGACAUAAAACCCAAAUGCGACGGUUUCUUCUUCCACUUCCUUCUGACAUCUAGUUGAGAUGAACUACCCAAUGCGCAGUACCAGUAAAGGUGCGAGGAUUGUGUUGCAUCCUACAUGAGUUGUUCAAAGCUUCUUCUUUUGAAGAUGAGACAUAGGAACCUAUGCAGGAUGGCCUUCACUCUGUCUACAGUGCUCCUCAAAGCAGCUGGAAAGGUGGAGGUUCUACAUGACUUCUCUGAGUGGAGAUUCCUCAUUAUGUGACCUCUGUAGUGUCUGGUUUGAAAGUGAUUACCCUUAAGAUUCAUGGUGGUUCAGCUGCUUCUGUGCCACGGAUAUGGUCCCGUUAAAGGUCUCUGAAUUUGGUCGCAAAGCUGCCGUCAUCCUGGUGGAGGGGUACCUGUCCAGCCAUGAAGAUUGGAUGAGAGUGAAGCAAGUGGGCAGGAUGUCUAUCGAGGUUCACUCUUCAUGUCCCAAGGGGUCUGUUGUCCUUCUGCAUUCAAGACUGGUCUAGAGGUGAGGAAGCCCAUAUCAUAAAGUUACCAGGAUCGUGCAAAUGAUGAAGCCUGAGUUAACAGUCGACUGUCCCUCUCUUGGCAACGACUCCUGUUGACCCAGUAUGGCACUGAGGACCCUGUCUGUUCCCAGGUGUAAGGUGACCUGCUGGAGUUCUGAUGGAGAAGGGAGAUCUGGCAGAGCUUAUGACUGAAAACUAUUCUGAUCACAUCCUGGCAGAGAAGAUGGACAUGCACAUGGACUUGAAGCCCGACGUCGUCACUGGCCUGAUGCUCAGUAAAUACUGGUCAGUCAGAGCUUCGGGUCAUCAUAAAGCCUUGCCGCACCAAAUAUUAUUUUUCUUCAGACAUCGCUGCCGUUGUUGGUGCCUCUUCAUCAUCUGUCACUUUACUGUCUUUAAUGUAUUACUCACAGGCUACAUAGGUUUGUAUCCUGAUUUGCUUAAAUUUGUGGUUUGAACACUUUUCUAAUUUUGUAUUUUAAAUAAAACCUGUUACAGUCA